AACAACGGAUCUCUUGGUUCUGGCAUCGAUGAAGAACGCAAGCGAAAUGCGAUAAGUAAGUGUGAAUUGCAGAAUUCAAGUGAAUCAUCGAAUCUUUUGAACGCACAUUGCGCCCCUUGGUAUUCCAUGGGGCAAUGCCUGUUCGAGCCGUCAUUU
rnacentral:rRNA from 1 species